rnacentral:rRNA from 1 species
CCUACGGGGGGCAGCAGUGGGGAAUAUUGGACAAUGGGCGAAAGCCUGAUCCAGCCAUGCCGCGUGUGUGAAGAAGGCCUUCGGGUUGUAAAGCACUUUCAGUGGGGAAGAAAGCCUUGGGGCUAAUACCCUCGAGGAAGGACAUCACCCACAGAGGAAGCACCGGCUAACUCCGUGCCAGCAGCCGCGGUAAUACGGAGGGUGCGAGCGUUAAUCGGAAUUACUGGGCGUAAAGCGCGCGUAGGCGGUCUGAUAAGCCGGUUGUGAAAGCCCCGGGCUCAACCUGGGAACGGCAUCCGGAACUGUCAGGCUAGAGUGCAGGAGAGGAAGGUAGAAUUCCCGGUGUAGCGGUGAAAUGCGUAGAGAUCGGGAGGAAUACCAGUGGCGAAGGCGGCCUUCUGGACUGACACUGACGCUGAGGUGCGAAAGCGUGGGUAGCAAACAGGAUUAGAUACCCCAGUAGUC